CUGCCUAAACCUGCCUCACCUUCACAGCUCCCUCCUCGACCACUCCCUGGCCGUCGCCAUGAACCAUAGUGCCGGGGAUUGAGAAUCCCACGCCCGCCAUGGCCGCCACCCGCCCAAGCUUCGUCCCUCUAUCGAACCCUCCCUUUCCGGCCUCCUCCUCACCAACCAACUACAAAAACCGAACCAUAGAGAGGCUCGUGCUCUCGCUCUUGAGCCGGUUCGGUCAACUUUCCACGCCCGUUCCCGUGGCUCGCCGCCGGCGUGCGCCACCACCCGUCGCGCCCAUGGCUAGGGUUAGGGCCCAGGGCAAGUAGUAAGGGAGAAGAGGCGCCUAGUGGUGGGGAAGGCAUGGGGGUAGUCAUCGAGAGGGGAAAAGUUGUCGCCAUGCUGGCGUGGCUGCGCCGCCGCCGCCGCUAUGCCUGGAUGCGUGCGAGCCCAAGGUAGAAGAAGGGUGGGGGUCGAGUUGCGAAGGAAUAGAAAGUUCAGGGGGGUUAUGUAGAAAAGUUUGGGUUUAAGUGUGAGGUGGGAGUUAGUCAAGGGGCUUAAGUGAAAGAUUCAGGGGCUGGUUCAUAAAAGGAAGAGCGGAUCUAUUGGGAAAAGUUGUUUCGGAGGGCUUUCUCGCAAAAGCGUUUUUCUUCUUUUCGGGUUUAAUUUUAUUUAAAAGGGCUCUAGUUUGUGAAAUCUAUAGAAAAUUGUAGGAAAAUGAUAAAAAUGCGAAAUAAAUCCUGUUAGGUUUCUUAUGAACUGUUUACCUAGGAAAAACUUAUUGUUGAGGUGCACCAUAUGUUUCCAUUACUGAAAAAAGGCAUGUUGUUUAAUCUCCUUUUAAUUAGAAGGCACAACUUGUUCAUAAAAUCUUAUUAAAUUAUCCGUAGUAUAGAUUAGUGAUGAAAGCUAUUGUGAGAGGUUUUUAGCAACAAAUCACUGACAUAACUCCAGUUAGAAUUUAUUCUUUCUAAUCUACCAUGUCACCAUGUUUGAUUUUUAGUAAUUUCUAUGUUAAUCCAAUCAUGCUCAAAUUUUUACAAAAAACUUUUGGUGUGAUAAGAAAGCUCCUGUAAAUGCUUUAUAUUCUUAUAGCAUAGAAUGCUUCCUGAAUAAUUACUCUUGAGAUAAACUAGUUUAAGUUCUUAAAAAUACUUGCUGCUAGAAUUUUGAGCUAAUAAAUUAUUGUUAUGAUCUUUACCCACAGCAUGAUCAUCCCUGAAAAUUUUGCUAGUAGAAUCUCUCUGGUUGCUUGUAUAUGUCAUUUAUUGGCCUCU
rnacentral:lncRNA from 1 species